rnacentral:piRNA from 1 species
UGGUGCAGACAGGUAUCCUAGAAGACUGA